rnacentral:lncRNA from 1 species
GGAUCCUAUUGAACGCCCUUUAGUAUAUAAAUGAUUAACAAACAACAUGGGAUCCUAUAGAACGUCUCAUAGUAGAUAAAUAAUGUUGAGAAAACAGGUGAUCCUUUAGAACGCCCUAUAGUAUAAACAUGAAAAACAAUCAACAGGGGGUCUUAUAGAACGUCCUAUAGUACAUAUAUCAUGUUGAAAAACAGAGAUUCCUGCAGAGCAUCCAAAGUUUCCGGCAGACCGCCCAAGGGAUUAUAUAGAAAGCCCUAUAGUAUAAACAUGAAAAACAAUCAACAGGGGGUCAUAUAUAACGCCAUUUAGUACAUAUAUAAUGUAAAGACAACAGGGUAUCCUUUAGACCGCCCAAGGGAUCCUUUAGAACGCCCUUUAGUAUAUACAUGAUUAACAAACAAUAGGGGAUCCUAUAGAACGUCUUAUAGUAGAUUUAUUAUGUUGAGAAAACAGGGGAUCCUGUAGACCACCCAGGGGAUCCCGUAGAAGGCCCUUUAGUAUAUAAAUGAAAAACAAACAACGGGGGAUACUUUAGAACGUAUUAUAGUAGAUAUAUAUUUUUAAACAAAUGGGGAUCCUAUAGACCGCCCAGUGGAUCCUGUAGAAAGCCCUAUAAUAUAAACAUAAAAAAACAAUCAACAGGGCAUCCUGUAGACCGCCAAGGGAAUCCAAUAGAACGCCCUUUAGUAUAUAAAUAAUAAACAAACAAUAUAGGGAUCCUAUAGAACGUCCUAUAGUAGAUAUAAAAUGUAAAGACAACAGGGGAUCCUGUAGACCGCCCAUGGUAUCCUGUAGAACGCCCUUUAGUAUAUACAUGAUAAACAAACAACAGGGGUUCCUGUAGAAUGUUCUAUAGUAAAUAUAUAAUGUUCAGACAAAAGGGGAUCCUGUAGACUGCCUAGGGGAUCCUAUUGAACGCCCGUUAGUAUAUAAAUGAUUAACAAACAACAUGGGAUCCUAUAGAACGGAACGUCUUAUAGUAGAUAAAUAAUGUUGAGAAAACAGGUGAUCCUUUAGAACGUCCUAUAGUAUAAACAUGAAAAAACAAUCAACAGGGGGUCUUAUAGAACGUAUAGUACAUAUAUCAUGUUAAAAAACAGAGAUUCCUGCAGACUACCCAAAGUUUCCCGCAGACCGCCC